rnacentral:lncRNA from 1 species
CAAACCCAGCAUGGGUGACAGCUCACAAAAACUGGAAAACCUGGAACACACUGCACAGCCUGCAGGCAGAUGAACAAGUUGGGGAGUGUCCUUUCCAACUGACUCUGGUCUAAUCCUCUUCCAGCCAAUGAAGACCUGCCUGACAGCAAUCCCUGGACUCCCUGGAAAAAAAUGGGCUACACAUCCUCGAGUGCACUGGAUCCAACUUGCUCCAUUUUAACUGACACUCUGGCCAGAGGUUCGGGUACUGACUUCAAUCAAGUUGAUGAUUUCAAGUGAGAUCUUCAAUCAAGAGAAUCCCAUCUAGCAUGGACUGGAUACAAUCCAUUCAAGACUUUCACUAUACUAACAUUUUCUUCCUACAGGACCCCACAAGGCUAUCAUCGUCCUAUUUCAGCAGGAAGUAACUUGGAGGAUGCUACGACCCCUUUCCCCAUUGUUGUCACUUAGGACAGUGUAUAUACCUAUUUAGGGAUAGCUUCCUAUUGUUUAUGGUUGGGAUUGGAAGGAGGUGUUCAGGCUUGGACACCUCUUUCAGAUGACUUUAGGGUUUAGUUAAAAUAGAUAGUUAGGAUGUGACAUAAGCAGAUUGUUGUAUCUUCUUAUAUUUUACCUUUAUGAUGGUUAAUUUUGGAUACUUUACACUGUUAAGUUUUAAUCCUCUUUUAGACUAAAAGGGGAAUUGCAGGGGAAGCUGUAGCCACGCCUACUUAGGGGCUGGCUACAAGAGUGCCUGAC